rnacentral:rRNA from 1 species
AAYAAACGACUCUCGGCAACGGAUAUCUCGGCUCUCGCAUCGAUGAAGAACGUAGCGAAAUGCGAUACUUGGUGUGAAUUGCAGAAUCCCGUGAACCAUCGAGUUUUUGAACGCAAGUUGCGCCCGAAGCUUCCGGCUGAGGGCACGUCUGCCUG